CCGCUACGUGUCCUUCCGCUGCGGGGGUCGGGCUUGUCGUCGCCUCGCCAUGGCCGAGUCCGAGGCGAGCGGCGUGGAGACGCUGCGGCGCCGCGUGCGGGAGCUGGAGGAGGAGCUGCGCGCGCUGCGGGCGGGGGCCGGGCCGGGCCCGCGGGCGCGGAUCGAGCGCAUGAGCCCGGAAGUCACCGACUCCAACCCCUACAGUCGCCUGAUGGCAUUAAAACGAAUGGGAAUUGUGAAAGAUUAUGAGAAAAUCCGUACCUUUACAGUAGCAGUAGUAGGUGUUGGUGGAGUUGGCAGUGUCACUGCCGAAAUGCUGACAAGAUGUGGCAUUGGUAAGCUGCUACUGUUCGAUUACGACAAGGUAGAGUUGGCAAAUAUGAACAGACUCUUCUUUCAGCCCCAUCAAGCUGGACUAAGCAAAGUACAGGCAGCAGAGUAUACUUUGAAGAAUAUUAAUCCUGAUGUGCAAUUUGAAGUACAUAACUACAAUAUUACAACAGUAGACAACUUUCAACAUUUCAUGGAUAGAAUAAGUAACGGUGGGCUGGAAGAAGGGAAACCCAUUGAUCUUGUACUGAGCUGUGUGGAUAACUUUGAAGCUCGCAUGGCAAUUAACACAGCCUGCAAUGAACUUGGACAAAUAUGGAUGGAAUCUGGAGUGAGUGAAAAUGCAGUCUCUGGGCAUAUUCAACUCCUCAUCCCUGGUGAAACUGCUUGUUUUGCGUGUGCACCACCACUUGUCGUUGCUGCAAAUAUCGAUGAGAAAACGUUAAAACGAGAAGGCGUCUGUGCUGCCAGUCUUCCCACCACAAUGGGAGUUGUUGCUGGGAUUCUUGUACAAAAUGUUCUGAAGUAUCUACUAAAUUUUGGUACUGUGAGUUACUAUCUUGGUUACAAUGCAAUGCAGGAUUUCUUUCCCACUAUGGCAAUGAAGCCAAACCCACAGUGCAGCGACAAAAAUUGCAGGACACAGCAGGAAAUAUAUAAGAAAAAAGAAGCUGCACAACCAAAACAAGUAGUAAUUGAACAGGAAGAAGAAAUAGUACAUGAAGACAAUGACUGGGGCAUUGAGUUGGUAUCAGAGGUUUCAGAAGAGGAACUGCAAGCUGCUUCUGGUCCAAUCCCCAAUCUUCCAGAGGGAAUUACUGUAGCAUAUACCAUACCUAGUAAGGAAGAGAAUGCUGCAGCUGAGGAAACGGUGGCAGAAUCUGAGGAAAGCCUAGAAGAACUCAUGGCCAAAAUGAAGAACAUAUAGAUAAAGGGAAUAUCAAAUUGGAUGUUUUGGACCGUGUGAGAGAUCAAGAAAUAUUGCAAGAUAUAUUUGAGGAAAUUAAACUCCUAUGAGAACAGUUUUAAAACUUGAAUUUAUGGUAAAAGUGCUGUCUUACUGACAAAGAUAACGCUAUCUCAGUUUUCUAUAUUUACAUUCUACUGUCUACUUGCGUUUGAUGUUAAGAGUUGUACUCUUAUUAGCUGUUAUGUCUCAGCAGUGUCAGAAUCCAGAUCCACAACAGAAAAUUAAAGGUGGUAGACGAACUGACAAAAAUAACGUUAAGUAUAGUACCCAUAAAAAUAUACUUUGCUACCUGGAGAUGGAGUAACCUUGGGUAAAUCAAGUGACAGGACAGAUAAGUCUGUCAUGUUGCCAAGUUCAAAUCCAAGUCCAAUAAGUCAUAGUGGUAAAUGUCCAGCUGGCUGCUGUUUAAUGACCUGUAUGGUCUCUGUUCUCAUUAUGACUUUACUGUACAUGUUUUUGAGCCUUAAAUUUUACUUAAAAAAUUUGAAGGAUAGAGUAUCCAUCUCCUGGGUUUUGUCAGUUUGUAUUAUAUCCUCAUUUAUUCUAAAACAUGUACACUUUCUGUGUUUGAGAGUGUGCUUUAAGCAUGUGUUUGUUUGGUAAGUUUGUUGUUAGGUUCCUGACCUAACAGACCAAAACAAAUGUCUUAUUUGGUCAUAACUACAGCUGACAGCCAUAUGUUUACAUGUUAAAUCCUUGUGAUUAGUCGCUAAAAGAAACUUUGCACAGGAACAGUCAAAACUCUCUUCUGUUACCCUAUAAAAGUUAAUUUGUUCUAACAGUAGUUUAUUUUAGAAUAAUACCUAACCCAAGCUUGUAUAUGCAAAACUUGAUUCUAAACCCAGUUAACAGGAUCCAACUUUAAGGCUGCAAGUCACUCAGUUUAAGACGCUACUUAUUUUACAAAUAAUGCAAAGUUAAUAUAGUACAAUAAUUUUGAACUAUCAUGUCUUGAAUAGCAAAUUGGUGCUAAUUACCCUUCAUGUCUGCAUGUUCGAUAGUGUUGGUACUGUUCUGCAAGUUAAAAUCAGUGCUGAAGUACCACUCCUAUAAAUUGUCUCUUAAGCAUUAAUAGGAUGCAGUAUUUGAAUCUAAAUACAUGUUCCUCCUUGCAGUGAAUACAAAGAGGCAAGUUGUAAACUUCAAAACCUGUUUUCCUUUAUAAAUUACAAUAUGUUAAGGUAACUUGUUAGCAGGCCCUUUUGAAAACAAUAGGUUUUUGUUAGCUCUGUGUAUAACUGGAAGAUGAAAUUAGCUUGCAUUUCCUUUAGGAAAGGCCAAAAUCAAAACUGAGAAGUGGCUGCUGGAGUGGGGGGGAAGGGAUCACACAUGUACAGGGCUUUUGUCUUUAGCAUCAAGUAUGUGCCCAGUUCUCACUCUUAAAGCUAAUUUGCAGCAAGAUUCUUAACUGUAUCUGCCAAAAGGAAAUGGGAAUGAUUUGGUCAGCAUUCAGCUGCUAUCCACAUGGCUGACACCUCUAUACAGGCCAAAUAUUAAGUUAUAUCACAUAUACAGUUUUAUGAAGUAACUGAUUAAUACACAACAAGUGACUCAUUAUUUAUUCAGUAUACAUAAGAGGUAAAUGUAUUAACAGAAACAGUUUUAUUUGCCUCUUUCAAAUUGCAAAGAUAUUAGGUAGGAUCAUAAUGUUUAAAAGACAUUUUGAAGGGAAUUGCAUACCAGUAUUUAAAACUAAUUAAAAUGUAUGUCUUUGAUUCUAUUUUGAUGUGCAAUGGAACUUUUUUUUUUAACCUUUGCAAUUUCUUUAAAAAAAUUAACGUACUAGUAUAGUAGAAUCACACACUUCCAUUAAGUGGGAAGAUUUUAAUGGACAUUUCAGAUUUUUUCUCUCUCCCCCCUGGCAACUUAAUAUGUUGGACAAAGUAAGAAUAUACAGAUUUUAGUCUUAUUUUAUUAAUUUAUUUAAGGUACAAAAUAUAAUAUCAAGUGCUACAACUUUAACAGUAAAUCUGAGAAAUGAGAUCUUGCUAUAGAACUGUCCUAUUAAAUUAGCGCUGAUACACUGAGAUCAUCUGUGUUGAUGUGGAGCUCUCCAGCACACAAGUGUUACAAUAUUUAAUAAAUUACAUCAAUUUUGGUUCUCAUCUGAUAUACAGUUCUUCUCAUUUUAUGCACAUGAUGCACAAACUACAUUUGCUGUAGCUAAUUUGCCUAAGGGUGGAUUAUCCAUCUCUAGAAAAGUAACACUGCAAUUAAAUCUUGUUAACACAGUCAUACAAUGAUAUCAGAUUGGAGUGUAUUCAGAGAGGAAUGGUGACAGCUAAAAGUUUGGGAAUUCAAUCCAUGGAAAAGCUUUUAAAAUGGCACUGUAGUUCUUAAGAAAAAGAAAAAAGAAAUGAAAAAGUGAAAAGCCUGUUUAAAAAUGUCAAACCAAGAACAAAACUUUCAGAGGAGAAAGAUAGACCAUGCAUGACAAUUUAAUACCUAAUAAGUAUUCUACCCAAAGACAUGAUUAUACAGGGACUAAGGAGGAAGAUAAUUUUAGGCUGUGGUUGUGGAAAAACAGGUUUUUUGGGGGGGGAGGGGGGGUUAUAUUAGAAAAGUCUUCUAAAGAAAUUGGUCAAAAAUAUAUAAAGAAAUACAAGUGUGGUAAAAAAAAUCCUGCUUUGAUAGCAAAGACAUAUGAAAUAUAACAUCACAAUUUUUAUUAGAGAUGCUGCAAUAACCUAAGGCAGACAAGGUUCCUUGGACUAACACGGCUACAACCUAAACCCCUGCAAUAACCUAACACUUUUGAGGUUUCCAACUAAAUCUUAAUCAGUUAUGGCAGUUUUGAUAUCAU